rnacentral:rRNA from 1 species
UACGUAGGGUGCGAGCGUUAAUCGGAAUUACUGGGCGUAAAGCGUGCGCAGGCGGUUUUGUAAGCCAGGUGUGAAAUCCCCGGGCUUAACCUGGGAAUGGCAUUUGGGACUGCAAGGCUGGAGUGCGGCAGAGGAGACUGGAAUUCCUGGUGUAGCAGUGAAAUGCGUAGAUAUCAGGAGGAACACCGAUGGCGAAGGCAGGUCUCUGGGCUGACACUGACGCUCAUGCA